UACGUAGGUGGCAAGCGUUGUCCGGAUUUACUGGGUGUAAAGGGCGUGUAGCCGGGCUGACAAGUCAGAUGUGAAAUUCCGGGGCUCAACCCCGGACCUGCAUUUGAAACUGUUGGUCUUGAGUAUCGGAGAGGCAGGCGGAAUUCCUAGUGUAGCGGUGAAAUGCGUAGAUAUUAGGAGGAACACCAGUGGCGAAGGCGGCCUGCUGGACGACAACUGACGGUGAGGCGCGAAAGCGAGGGGAGCAAACAGG
rnacentral:rRNA from 1 species